AGCCACUCUGAGAGCUGGGCGGGCUGGCAGCGGCCUCCCUGGGGCAGGCUCAGGCUGUGGCGCUCGCUGCGGAUCCGUCUCCGUUUUGCUGGUCGAGAUGUUUUUCUCUGAGGCCGGGGCCCGGCCACGGACAAGGGAAAUCAGCCCCUCGGAACACAAGAAAUGGGUGGAAGUCUUUAAAGCAUGUGAUGAAGAUAACAAAGGCUAUCUAAGCAGAGAGGACUUUAAAGUUGCUGUUGUAAUGCUGUUUGGGUACAAGCCCACCCAGAUAGAAACCAAUUCUGUGAUGUCUUCAAUAAACGCAGACACCUCCGGUGUACUCCUUGGGGAGUUUUUAAACAUUGUAAGGAAGAAGAAGGAAGCUCAACUUUAUCAGAAUGAAGCACGACACAUCUUCACAGCUUUUGACAGGCACUAUCGUGGCUAUUUAACUCUGGAAGAUUUCAAAAAAGCCUUUGAACAGGUGGCUCCCAGGUUACCAGAAAGGGUCAUUCUGGAGGUGUUCAGGACGGGCUCCCAAGGAACACUCUUGAGACAGAGCUUCACAUGCAGAAAGUUCACUGGGGGGGGGGGGGGGGUGCUCUCAGAACAAGCCUGUGGAGGAGACGGGAAAGCAGGACAGGGGAAGAACAGCUCUGGCCAGUACUGGGGGUGUCCCCUCCAGCCUGCAGAGACGUGGCAGAGAAGCGAGCUGAGCUGAACUUAUUCUCCUGCUGGACCAGACGCUGCCCCUGGGGGAGGGGCCUGUUGCUGAUUGAGGGGAAGUAGAUCAAGACUCAGAUGACCUCGUCAGUUUUAAGGACUUUGAAUAUGCCAUGAACUAUGGACAAGAUCCAGCCUGAUCAACCCUUAGAAGCUCCUGUGAGGGGAUUUCUGCAGACUCCAACAAGUAGCAUGUGUCUGGAUACCGAACAGAACCCACUGAUAAUGCAACACUAUGUGCUUCCCAUUAAACUCUUGGUAGUG